AAUUGGGCAAAGGUGAUGUGUAUGGAUUUAUUGAUCCAUAUCUCAUUCAGGGUGAAAAUGAUCAUGCUAGUGUUCACACCUUCAUAUAAAACAAGAUGCAUGGCGAUCAAAAAGAUUUUUACCUAGCUCCUUAUUUUAGCGAUCAUCAUUGGAAAUUGCUCAUCAUCAAUCCCAAAAAGCAUGAAGUUGUCUUUUUUAUGUUCGCUGGGAAGGAGAAAGCCGGAUAAAACAAUCUCUUGCAUUAUUGAAUUAGCUUUGGAUGGUUAUAAUAAGUUGCAAGGUGUGAAAAAGAAAACUAAAGCAAAAUGGAUUCAUCCAAUU